AAUAAUUUUCAAAUAAGACGAAAAUGCUACAGUACCCAUUAAACUUUACCAACCCCAACCAAAUACCCUACUUGUGGAGCUCACUUAGCCCCACAAGUCAGACCAGUUGUCCAUUUAGUGGGAGACUGAAACUUCACCUCUCUCUACUAGUCCACUCUACCACAGUUGUCUCACUCUCACUCACACACACAUUCUCUAGUUCAUUCCUCUCUCUCUACACCACCUAGAGAAAGGAGAAGACAAGGGAGAAGGAAGGAGAAGGGUUUAAUUUGGAGCAUCCCGCCUGCAGCAAGAAACCAUGGAGGCCACCUAGGAGGUGCUGACCACAAGGGUUGGGGAUAGAAGAGGGAGGAGCCAGCUUUCAAGAAAAAGGAGAACAAGAAGCGAAGUGUCCAUGGCCGAUUGGAUGUAACGGGCUUUAUGGCCAAGAACAAUUAUAAAAUUAGCGUAGGUCAGUUAGUUAUUCUUGUGGUGGAACCUACUAACCUAAGUUCAUUUUUUUUAAAUAAAACCUGAGUUUCCAUUCUUGACCCAACACGUGUUCAUAUUUUUGUAGAAUUUUAUUUUAGAAUUUUACGAUACUAUUUUUUUUCAGUUGUAGACAACGUGCCUGUUGCCAACAAGAUGGCUAUGAUGAUCCUCUCAACUUAGAUCUGUCGAGUCAGUCUUUUAGAGGUGUUUAUGGGGAUAGAGUUCCAUGUGUACAUUCAUAGGAUUACGUACACAUAUGUGGGCUAUGGACGUUUGUGUUUAUACUGUUUACUUUUAAAAAUAUAAAUCUCAUGUCACAUCUCGACUCCAAACAAGGGAGGCCUAUACAUGGGCUAAAGUUUAGUUCUUGUCAUAUCGAAUAUCGGGUACUAAUUAGUAGAACUAAGUAUGAGCUAAUUAUAUAAAACUAAUUAUAGAAGUGUGGCUAAUUCACGAGACGAAUAUAUUAAGCUUAAUUAAUCCAUUAUUAACACAUAUUUACUGUAGCACUAAUUAGGUUUAAUAGAUUUAUCUCACAAAUUAGUCAGAAUCUGUGCAAUUAGUUUUGUAACUAUUCUAUAUUUAAUAUUCAAAAUUGGUGAUCAAAAUCCGAUGUGAUAGAGACUAAACUUUAGUUGUGGGAACCAAAGACAGCCAUAUGUUUACAUGGAUUUCAUGAUAUUCUCCUCGUGUUAGUGUACACUAUAAUCGAUAAACAUAACUAUCCAUGUUAUAGUUUUGAAUCAUGUUUGGGCAUGACAUAGCUUAGGGCAGAUCACCUUCUACCUUUUUCAACUUCACUUCAGGGUUCACAAAAUAUUCAUCCGUUUAUGUUUGAAUCAAUCUCUGAUCAAUAUUUUUAUAAAAGAAUAAAACAUACUACACCAGGUAUUAAUUAUACACAAUGUGAUUUGUUUUAUUUUAAUAGAAUUAAAAAAUAAUCAGGCUUAAUUAAAAUCCAACGACAUGGCAAUGAAGCUGUGGGUGCUGCCACUGAUCGAGUUGAUCUGUCGAAUGCGGCCAAGGACCCAUCCUCCACUGCGCCAAUCUGCGAAUGCAGAGACAUUUUUGGCUCUCUCGUGGAUCCUGGGAGAGGUGCUUCGGAAGAUACGUUUACGGCAAAAUCCGUCUCACAUGGCUAAGUAUAGUAGUAAAAAAGAAGAAUGUUUAAGUAACUAGACAGAUAAUAAUAAGGAUACUGUCAGACAUGGUUCUUCCUUAUCUCGCUUCACCGUUGGAUACUUUUUUUUUUUUUGAUAAUAAUGAAAAUAGUUCUGGUCUAUUUUUCUCUAAGAAAAUUAGAGGUAGCAGAAUCAAAAUGUUUAGUGCUUACCGUGAUUCAGAGCCGGAGUGCGUGUCCUUUUCCCGGUGCUUCGCAUUCUCACAAAGCAUCCAUCAAGAACAGAGAAGAUGAAACUGGCACGAAGUUUUUUUUAAAGUGUGGCAGACCGCUGCCCGAAAAUACAGAUGAACUCUUGUUGCUUGAGUUUUGCCCUCUAUUCGCUCUUCAUGUUUCUCAAUUUGUUGGUUGACGUUUAAAUAAGGAAGAUGGCAUCAGUUUUUAAAGAGCGAAGGAAAUUAAAGAGGCAUGCCACCAUGUACAAUGUAUUGAACUGAUGGUACUAGCAAGAGUGGUGUAAAAUUGCUUGAAUGGGAAGAGUUACUGAACGUGUCAGUAAUAAAGUAUGAAAUAAACUACUACUUUUACAUAGAAGGCCAAGCCGAGUAGUGACCUUACUUCCUUCUAAAAGCAAGGUGUUUGUUUUGUUUAAAGCCAAAUUUCUUUAAUUUUGAUUAAUUUUGUAAUUUACUAACAUAUACUCCGUCUCUCCAUAAAUCUAAGUAUUUUUUUCGAGUAGGACAGAUUAAGAAGAAGGAGAAAUGGUCAAGAUGCCCCACAGUUAGUCACCAUUUUAGGUGUAAUGGAUCAAUCAAAUUUAUACUAGGUUCACUAAACAAAACGUCCCUAGAACAUCUAAACUCUAUAUACCUAGAAAAAAUACAUCCAAAAAAUUGUCUCUAUUAAAAUUAAAGGCUACAAAACAUCUCUAGCAGUCUUCAACCCAAUCGUGCGGCCACAUCGAUCCGAGGCUUCAACGCGCCCACGAUUCAAUGCUCCUCGUGCCCGCGGUGCUCUAUGCCCACGCUCGGCGGGGACGAUUCGAUUCUUGACAGAGUCUUUUUCCAAUAAAUAAAAUUGAAACACAAUCAUUUCCUUCCUCGCCGUGUCUUCCAACGACUACCGUGACUCCUCUGAUUCACAAACGGGCCCGGAAGCAGCCUAGCUGCAUAGGCGCCAGCCAAGGGCGCGGGGCCACGACGGGCAGAGCUAGGCCGUCGCCGGCUGCGUGCUCAGGGUCCCGCCAGCAUAGAAGGAGGAAGGAGGUGGCAGCCAGUCAGGCUAGCGGUGCCCGCGCUCAUUCCUCUCGGCAUGCAAGUCGGCGACCGAGCUGGCAGCGGUAGCCGCUGGCCAGACGGUGCUCGCGCCCGGGCCUCUCGCGAGCUUGCGCAGCGGCUCGCAGCCAGAUGGGGCGACAACGGCAGUAGCCAGGAUCGCCUUGCCCCCGCCCCCUCCCCCCGUGCUAGGCGCUGGACCUGCGCUGGGCGCGCCUGCUCCGCCUCAUGCACGACCAGCUGCUCGCCUGCUUCGUCCUGCGGCGGCAAGAUCCGGCAUCCCGUAGCUGGCGGCGUACAACCUCUCCAAGGGCCACCCCCACUUGGAGGGGCCACCGAGUACCUCUAUCUACAGAUCCACCGCAGCAAAGAAUUUCCUUAUCUAAUUUGUGGCGCCCGUGGUCCCGUACUGAUGGAUUUGUGUUGGCCUUGCUGAUUAUCUUUUGGGGCCAUACUAAACAGGGGGUACUUAGGGUCUUCUGGCAAGACCAGUGCUGCUACCUCUAGCACCGGCUCUGUCUCCGCCUCUGUCUUAUGCGUCGGAUGUGUCUUCUCUAAAGUCUGAAGUUCAUUAGGACCAAAUUUUCUGAAACUGAUGAUUUCUGAUGUGUAAAAUAGAUGCUAAUCAUGUGCCAAAUUUCUUUAGUAAGUGUGACUAGCUUUUCUGCUACUUUUUCCCUUGCAAAUAUGCUUUGGAAUGAGAGCUUUGUGUGUUUAGGUUAGCACACUGCCUGAGAGUUGGAUUAGAGCUGAUACAUUUGAAUACAUUUGGAAUUUGGUGAUUUAUGGUCCUGCUAUGUUGUUCCACAGCUCACUGAUUUGUUAUGACAUUUCCUUGUAAAUAAGAUUCAAGCUCGCUAAUUUUGUCAGUGGAAUGCAAAUGGAUCAUAUUUCUCUUUUAAA